rnacentral:rRNA from 1 species
CCUACGGGGGGCAGCAGUGGGGGAUAUUGCACAAUGGGCGCAAGCCUGAUGCAGCGACGCCGCGUGAGCGAAGAAGUAUUUCGGUAUGUAAAGCUCUAUCAGCAGGGAAGAAAAUGACGGUACCUGACUAAGAAGCUCCGGCUAAAUACGUGCCAGCAGCCGCGGUAAUACGUAUGGAGCAAGCGUUAUCCGGAUUUACUGGGUGUAAAGGGAGCGUAGGCGGCCCUGUAAGUCUGAUGUGAAAAUUUGGGGCUCAACCCCAAACGUGCAUUGGAAACUGCAGGGCUUGAGUGCCGGAGAGGCAG